rnacentral:rRNA from 1 species
AUUGAACGCUGGCGGCAGGCUUAACACAUGCAAGUCGAGCGGGGUGAUGGUGCUUGCACUAUCACUUAGCGGCGGACGGGUGAGUAAUGCUUAGGAAUCUGACUAUUAGUGGGGGACAACAUCUCGAAAGGGAUGCUAAUACCGCAUACGUCCUACGGGAGAAAGCAGGGGAUCACUUGUGACCUUGCGCUAAUAGAUGAGCCUAAGUCGGAUUAGCUAGUUGGUGGGGUAAAGGCCUACCAAGGCGAGGAUCUGUAGCGGGUCUGAGAGGAUUAUCCACCACACUGGGACUGAGACACGGCCAAGACUCCUACGGGAGGCAGCAGUGGGGAAUAUUGGACAAUGGGGGAAACCCUGAUCCAGCCAUGCCGCGUGUGUGAAGAAGGCCUUAUGGUUGUAAAGCACUUUAAGCGAGGAGGAGGCUCUUUUGGUUAAUACCCAAGAUGAGUGGACGUUACUCGCAGAAUAAGCACCGGCUAACUCUGUGCCAGCCGCCGCGGUAACAC